GGAGGCCUGGGUGGCAAUGGUGGAACCGGCUCCGUUGCCGGCGGAAAUGGCGGUUCCGGCGCCGCGGUCACCA
rnacentral:tRNA from 2 species